rnacentral:rRNA from 1 species
CCUACGGGUGGCAGCAGUCGAGAAUCAUUCACAAUGGGGGAAACCCUGAUGGUGCGACGCCGCGUGGAGGACUGCAGGUCUUCGGAUUGUAAACCCCUGUCAUGUGGGAGCAAAUUAAAAAGAUAGUACCACAAGAGGAAGAGACGGAUAACUCUUGGCCAGCGGCCGCGGUAAUACAGAGGUCUCAAGCGUUGUUCGGAAUCACUGGGCGUAAAGCGUGCGUAGGCGGUUUCGUAAGUCUGGUGUGAAUGGCGCGGGCUCAACCCGCGGACGGCACAUGACACUGCGAGACUAGAGUAAUGGAGGGGGAACCGGAAUUCUAGGUGUAGCAGUGAAAUGCGUAGAUAUCGAGAGGAACACUCGUGGCGAAGGCGGGUUCCUGGACAUUAACUGACGCUGAGGCACGAAGGCCAGGGGAGCGAAAGGGAUUAGAUACCCUAGUAGUC